AAACCAACAGGGAUUGCCCCAGUAACGGCGAGUGAAGCGGCAACAGCUCAAAUUUGAAAUCUGGCUUCGGCCCGAGUUGUAAUUUGUAGAGGAUGCUUUUGGUGAGGUGCCUUCUGAGUUCCCUGGAACGGGACGCCAGAGAGGGUGAGAGCCCCGUAUAGUCGGCCACCGAUCCUUUGUAAAGCUCCUUCGACGAGUCGAGUAGUUUGGGAAUGCUGCUCAAAAUGGGAGGUAUAUCUCUUCUAAAGCUAAAUAUUGGCCAGAGACCGAUAGCGCACAAGUAGAGUGAUCGAAAGAUGAAAAGCACUUUGAAAAGAGGGUUAAAUAGUACGUGAAAUUGUUGAAAGGGAAGCGCUUGUGACCAGACUUGUGCCGGGCUGAUCAUCCAGUGUUCUCACUGGUGCACUCUGCCCGGCUCAGGCCAGCGUCGGUUCUCGCAGGUGGACAAAAGCUUCGGGAACGUGGCCCCUCCGGGGGUGUUAUAGCCCGUUGCUCAAUACACUUGCGGGGACCGAGGUUCGCGCUCUGCAAGGACGCUGGCAUAAUGGUCAUCAGCGGC
rnacentral:rRNA from 1 species